UCCUGGACCUCAAGGAUGCAGUGUCAACGUAUGCAAUGCAAAGGCUGGCUUUAUCAUCCAUCAAAGAAGAAACCCAGCAUACUUCAAUACAUUAAAUACACUCGUGAGAUGCAUCUCAAGGAGGCUGAAACACUUGUCAAACAUCAACGAUCGAUCAUACAACGAGUUAUUACUUUAAUUAAAUAGAUCUUUAUCGGCAGAGCUGACACUCUCUGUGUGGACAUGCGGACACGUGGAUAUUCAGAUACGCAAGAUCGUGCAUUGCCGUCUUCUUAUAUGCCUGAUGCAUUAAAGUCUUGACCGGUGCAGUUAAGAGGUAGCAUGCCACCAUUCAGGAUGUGUCCUUCCAUCAAAUUACACCGUAUCUAUGUGGACGAUGUUCUGGUACCUGUCAGGCUGGGAUACUUUCUCGAGAAUCGGUGCUUUCCUUCGUUUCCGCUUACGAUCAUAUUCAUACGACCAUUCCGAAAGGAUGUGGUGAUCCUAUUUGGUGGGAUGCUAAUUUUAACACGUGGGAAAGUCCACGAGGAACUGCCUAUUUCAUUCACAAUAUUGUCAGAGAACAUGUAUAGUAAUAUACAUAUGUAAUAUGUAAUAUAUGUUCUCUGAUAUAGUUCAUCGAAUCAAUAACCUAUGUAUCGAAGGCAACAGAUCUGUGUAACCUAACCUAACCUAUCUGUAAGGUAAUUGAAAAAGAAAGAAAUGAAAACGGAAGCCCUCAAGAUGUAGGUCAGUCGGUAUCUGUAAUGAAGGAAAUUAACGUGAAGAUGAUGCACCAGGAGUAAUUGCACGUUCCUCUCCAUUGGUUGGCGGACCAUCGCGUGUCACCUGCAGCUUUAUAUCAGUAUCCACUGUGAGAAGACACCGCACAUGAAAUUCUCUCUUUCAAAUGCAUUUCGUUUUGCUUCAGGAUAUGCACAGAUAUAUGUGUAAUACAAGUGAACAUAUGUAUGAUUCGGAUAAAAGUUCUUGGAUAUUUCACAAUUCCAGGAGGUGAAUGUUGAAGGUAGUUUGGGUCGAAUCGCACGCAAACAUUUUUCACGCACAUUGUACACAUGUGGGAUUAUUCUACAUAUGCCUGUGUACUUAUAUGCUAGUAUGAAGACAGCUUGCGAGCUUGCCUUACAUCUUGCGAGUUAUCGCACCGCCGUAAUAAUUCAGCGGUGAUGGGAUGGCCACGCGAUAAAAGCAUAUACUCCAGGACAUGUGGGAAUCGCUUCACUUCCUUUACGUACUUUUAGUAACUCUCACCCAUAUAUUUGUGUCAGAUUCUAUAUCAGCAUUGGAUUUAUAACUUGACGAUAUUUAUUUAUUUAUUGGAGAAUUAGUUAUGAGCGGAUAACUUGGAACAGCUGUUAUUUCUCAGCUUAAGCAAGUUUCCUUCUGUCCAGCAGAAGAUCCUCUGGGUCCAUCCUGAAGAUCCGAAAAGUCGGAAUUAAUUUAAGCAUUCGAAUCGGAUUAGAGUCCAGGCGAAACGUAGCCGUGCGUGUCUUUCAAGGAUCCGUCCAACAGGAAAUGAUCGGAGAUUAGGGCUGCGGUUUAAUUGGAACAGGAUGCAUGUAUUUACAUUUUAUUAGGACGAAAUCCUGAGGGAUGGGGUAUGGUGUGAUUAAGAAGAGAAGGAAGCAAAUCAUUGACUCGAUCCAAUCAUGACGUCCAAGCAGUUAAAACAACGAGUACAAUAUCAAGGACCUGCCCGAAUUAAUCAUGCAGCAAACAACCUUAUACUAAUAGACAAGGAGUAUCUGGAUUCAAGUGUAUACGAGCGCGUGCCAGACCUCUUAUACUUCUGCCUGGAGUAUAAUAUUGCCUAGCAGCCAUAUAACCUUUGGGUAAGGUGUACUGCAUAUUGUUCUGAGUAAACAGAUCUACCGGAUGGAGAAAAUGAACGGGAUCAUCUUCUCAGGUGCUUCUUCCUGUAUGGAUCAAAGUCUGCUUGGCCCUUUCCAAUGCAGAAUUCAAGUCCGUUGAUGAGUCUUGAAGGAAACCCUUCACCAUUUCAUUCAUUCAUUCCUUGUCGAAGGUCGCUUGGGAGUAAAUGAAAGGAAGGGUCUGUCUUUCAUUCUUCCCUUUUCUUUUUCAUUGAAACAAGCUAACCCCUUGAGGUGCAAUAGAAACCUCGUGUCCUGAUGCAAUUUUAUACCGUGGAGGUACCAGUUGACAGUAUCAACUUUCUUCUUGGCCAGUACAUUGGGUUGGGUUAGGUUUACUAUAAGGAUGAAUGAAAGGAGACUAUAUAGUUUGGAGGACUAAGCAAAGAAAACCAACAUACCAGAGGAGAAUGAACACCUGCAUCAGUCGGAAGACUCCUGAGAAUAAGAGGAAUCAGCUCGAUAGCGAUAUGAGAGUAAAAGCUGAUCGGCUGCAGGCAGGUCGGCUACCGACGUAGAUGAUAAUCAGGAUGCAACCUCGUAGGAAAAGGAAGACCUCUCAUUAGCGCAGGACCGAAAGUCAUUUACCCUGAAGAAAAUCGCUGGACUUGUUAUAAUUAGAAAUACAUUAAUUGCUACCACAGCUUGACUCAGGUGGAGGACACCAGUUCUAAUUGGUCAAAUGGAAUGGAAAAACCAUUGUAAAUUUAAUCAAGGAAAAUGACAGUAUGUAAAUAUGGAAUAUUAUUAUAUUUUAUGAAACAAAAUACACUCUCUUUCUUUCUACAGUGACAUAUUGGCGUUCACGUGUGCACUUAUAUGGCUAUAAAAUAAUUUAUACCUAUAAAUACCAAGUCCUCAAGUGGAAUCUACGUUAUCGCAAUUUCAUCAAAAUGUCUUUCAUCAUUCGGUCAUCCUUCUCGGUUACACAUAUGUGAAUUACAUGAGGAGCGCACCUCGCAGUCUACCGGGACAAGUUUCUUCUCUUCUUCUUCUCCAGCAUCUUACAACCGUCGAAGAUCCUCGGAGGACCGACUCGUGCUCCAUUUCACGUUCCAAUGGCCACCACGUAAUUACCCCUCGAAUUUUGUCCCGUUGCUAAAUACGUGGGGCAUCCGAACGGACUCCUUUUGUGGAAGCUUUUAAUCGCACCGCCACGACCCAUUUAUUAGACGAUCGUAGGUGCUUCAGGGGAUUUUACAGACGACUCCCCUCCUGCGCCCAUCUAUACUACCUUUAUCUCCCACCAAUCGACGGCACGCGUCGGUCCUACUGUGCAUAAUAACUUUGCAAUCGGUUGCUGAUAGUGAUUUUCAA